rnacentral:lncRNA from 10 species
CGCUGGGGUCCCCUUCUACACUGUGGAAGCUUUGUUCUUUGCAAUAAAUCUUGCUACUGCUUACUCUUUGGGUCCACAUUGCUUUUAUGAGCUAUAACACUCACCGCGAAGGUCUGCAGCUACACUCCUGAAGCUAGCGAGACCAUGAGCCCACUGGGAGGAAAAAACAACUCCAGACGCGCUGCCUUAAGAGCUGUAACACUCACCGCGAAGGUCUGCAGCUUCACUCCUGAGCCAGCGAGACCACGAACCCAACAGAAGGAAAAAUCUCCGAACACAUCCAAACAUCAGAAGGAACAAACUCCAGUGCGCCACCUUAAGAGCUGUAACACUCACCACGAGGGUCCGCGGCUUCAUUCCUGAAGUCAGUGAGACCAAGAACCCGCCAAUUCCAGACACGUUUUGGCAACCCAGAUGGGACUUUCGCCUAUCGCCAAGUGGUGAGACAAUCGCCGAGCAGUGAGACCAUCGCCUAUUGCUGAGCAGUGAGUACCAUCGGACCCCUUUCACUUGCUAUUCUGUCCUGUCUUUCCUUAGAAUUUGGGGGCUAAAUACCGGGCACCUGUUGGCCAGUUAAAAGCGACUAGCAUGGCCGCCGGACUAAAGACAUGGGUGUCAGGCUUUCUGGGAAAGGGCUCUCUAACAACCCCUGACUCUUCUUCGGAGUUGGGACCGUUUGCCUAGAACCAGCUUCCACUUUUCCUGUAC